rnacentral:lncRNA from 1 species
CACAUAUCUUCCUGCUUCCCUACUAGUGCCAAAAUCACUGCCUUUGUAUCAUUUGUAUGUUGGGAAUUUUGAAAGAUGGAGGGAAAGGUAGAUUGUGGAGAUAUAAAGUAUGAUGGAAGAUACAUUUGACAGGUUGAACAACGUAAUGAAGGAUUUGAAGAGACAGGAGAGUAGGGAGGGACCUGAUGUGAUGAUUAUGGAAUAAACACCAUUUCUGAUAAAAAUUACUGAUGAUAAAAGUACUUGCAUUUUGUGACUUUAUUUUAUACGUAUACUAUUUAUGUGAACACACACACACACACAUAUAUAUAUAUAUAUAUUUUAAUCAAGACACGAUUAGAAAAUUAGCACCUUUUAUUAAAAACUUAGGUUUUCUUUAAAUACCAGUUGUCAAUUGCUCUGGAUGUAAUGGGCUCUGAAUGUGGUUAUUAGGGUACAAGCAUCCUCUAAUCUGGAUUUUAUACUUAUGAGGUGUGUUAGUGGACUAAUGAGGUUAAUUUUGUGGCUGUGGCUUAUAGAAUCAGCCUCAGUCUUUUAUAAGUUUGCAAUAAAGUUUUUAUCUUUGCAAUCAAAAACACAUUCAGAGCUGGAAACAUCAUCUAAUGGGAAAAAAAAUGGUGGGAUUUUACCCAGAAAAACAGAAUAAUAUUUGAUUGGUUUUGAAAUAGUGGGAGAGACAGCGGGGUUGCUUGAAAGAUGCUAGGACCAGGAAACCAGCUUUUGUAGGGGACUAAUUCCUGUGUAGCAACUUCCUCCUUCCUCCACUAGGGCUAGACAGCUUUAAUGGAGUCUGGACCUUACCAGAAGGAUGUAGACAACUGUUAAAAUUCUUUGACCCUCCAGAAGACAUAAUAUUUUCAUUCUACUAGCAUCUAUAGCCACUAGGAGACUGAGGACCUCAAUUCAACUUUCACUGGGGACCAUAAUGCAGAGCCUUCUUACAAUGUCCUGAAAAUGGAAAGUGACUAUAAUCAGAUCUGGUUUGGAGAGCAAUUCGGUUCGGAGUGGAGGGAGAUUCUGAAUUGGAGUUCAGGAGAUUCAGUGGAGGACUGGAGCUUGUUUGGAGAUGGUCUUGUGGUAAGUAAUAAGACUGACUUUUCUUCUUGGCUCAACCUGAGCCAGAGCAGUUUAAAUUAAUUCUCUCUCUCUCUCUCUCUCUCUCUCUCUCUCUCUCUCUCUCUCCCCUUCCCUUAAUUCCUUCUUUCUUUAUUAAUUAAAUCUCCAUAAAUCCCAGCUGACUUGGAUAUUUUUCAUAUUUGGGAAUUUCCCAUGGUGAC